GAAUGGGAAUGAUGAUCAAAGGAAUUAUACAGUUAUCCCUGUCUGAUUUACUUCAUCUGCUGAUACUUUUUCCUUUCUUAUCUGACUCAUCC
rfam:Capsicum annuum cultivar Zunla-1 chromosome 3, whole genome shotgun sequence